UGGGGAAUAUUGCACAAUGGGCGAAAGCCUGAUGCAGCGACGCCGCGUGCGGGAUGAAGGCCUUCGGGUUGUAAACCGCUUUUGAUUGGGAGCAAGCGAGAGUGAGUGUACCUUUCGAAUAAGCACCGGCUAACUACGUGCCAGCAGCCGCGGUAAUACGUAGGGUGCAAGCGUUAUCCGGAAUUAUUGGGCGUAAAGAGCUCGUAGGCGGUUUGUCGCGUCUGGUGUGAAAGUCCAUCGCUUAACGGUGGAUCUGCGCCGGGUACGGGCAGGCUAGAGUGCGACAGGGGAGACUGGAAUUCCCGGUGUAACGGUGGAAUGUGUAGAUAUCGGGAAGAACACCAAUGGCGAAGGCAGGUCUCUGGGUCGUCACUGACGCUGAGGAGCGAAAGCGUGGGGAGCGAACAGGAUUAGAUACCCUGGUAGUCCACGCCGUAAACGGUGGAUGCUGGAUGUGGGGCCCAUUCCACGGGUUCCGUGUCGGAGCUAACGCGUUAAGCAUCCCGCCUGGGGAGUACGGCCGCAAGGCUAAA
rnacentral:rRNA from 1 species